rnacentral:rRNA from 1 species
UGCCAGCCGCCGCGGUAAUACGAAUGGGGCAAGCGUUGUUCGGAAUAACUGGGCUUAAAGCGUAUGUAGGCGAAUCAUAAAGUCAGGAGUGAAAUCCUGUGGCUCAACCAUAGAUCUGCUUUGAAAACUGUUUAUCUAGAAUAUGGGAGAGGUAGAUGGAAUUUCUGGUGUAGGGGUAAAAUCCGUAGAGAUCAGAAGGAAUACCGAUUGCGAAGGCGAUCUACUGGAACAUUAUUGACGCUGAGACGCGAAAGCGUGGGGAGCAAACAGGAUUAGAUA